GGCUCAGAGUGAACGCUGGCGGCAGGCCUAAUACAUGCAAGUCGAACGGCAGCACAGUGGAGCUUGCUCCAUGGGUGGCGAGUGGCGGACGGGUGAGGAAUACAUGGGAAUCUGCCCAGUCGUGGGGGAUAACGUAGGGAAACUUACGCUAAUACCGCAUGCGCCCUUCGGGGGAAAGCCGGGGACCUUCGGGCCUGGCGCGAUUGGAUGAGCCCAUGUCGGAUUAGCUAGUUGGCGGGGUAACGGCCCACCAAGGCGACGAUCCGUAGCUGGUCUGAGAGGAUGAUCAGCCACACUGGAACUGAGACACGGUCCAGACUCCUACGGGAGGCAGCAGUAGGGAAUAUUGGACAAUGGGCGCAAGCCUGAUCCAGCCAUGCCGCGUGAGUGAAGAAGGCCCUCGGGUUGUAAAGCUCUUUUGUCCGGAAAGAAAAGCAUCGGGUUAAUACCCCGGUGUUCUGACGGUACCGGAAGAAUAAGCACCGGCUAACUUCGUGCCAGCAGCCGCGGUAAUACGAAGGGUGCAAGCGUUACUCGGAAUUACUGGGCGUAAAGCGUGCGUAGGUGGUUCGUUAAGUCCGAUGUGAAAGCCCUGGGCUCAACCUGGGAAUGGCAUUGGAUACUGGCGGGCUAGAGUGCGGUAGAGGAUAGUGGAAUUCCUGGUGUAGCAGUGAAAUGCGUAGAGAUCAGGAGGAACAUCCGUGGCGAAGGCGACUGUCUGGACCAGCACUAC
rnacentral:rRNA from 1 species